ensembl:lincRNA
AGAGCCUUCCCGAGGGGGCGUCGGCUCAGCCUGGCGCUCGGGGCUGCUACGGUGGUUCGGGUCGGAGACCCCUGAGAUCUUAAAGAUUUGUCCUGUGAGGAUUAGGUGCAGACUGUUCCAGAGACAAGGAAACAGUCACUGGGGAGAGAGAAAGUGGAUGUCAGGUUCAGGGACCUGCAGAACGGCCCGUGUGACUAGAGAGUGAGUGGCAGGAGAAAAGCACUCCAUAGAGCAAAUGGAGAUGAUUUUUCUACUUAAGUACCACCUAAGCUAUCUCUAGAAAGACCUAGAAGAGCGACUUUUGUCUCUAUUUUUGGGAUGCCUACAUGUCCACAAAACUCAGGAGGUUUCAAAUUCCACCAAAUCCAGCAUCCUUUCGUAAUGGGCACCAGUGCCACCACGUAGAUUGGGGAAAAUGGAGUUGAUUGCUGGUCUAAAGACUUUUCAGCCCAAACAUUGGUCUCUUGGGGCUUUGUGUGCAGCAGAGGCAUCUCAUCACUCACCUGAGUAAACAGCUGGGAUCCUUCUAUUCGGAGAUGAGCCACCAUGCCCCUUACGGUGGAGAGUCCUUGGAGACCCAGAAGAUCAUAGACGGCCCCCAGGAGGGCUCUGUGCUGGCAGUCUAAAGACAGAAAUAGCCAUACGGUGGCUGUUAAAGGGAUGAGACUGUGGUGUGCUUUCUUGUGAUAGAUGGUAGGACUCAGCUCGGAAGAGGCUGACUCCAGAUGGGACUUCAGGGAAAACGGGAAGAAACCGUGCCAUUACUCUGCACUUGAAGGAGCAUCUUUGGCCUGACAGGAUAAUGAACACACUUCCUCUCUCAGUCAGGUUUACUGCGUGGGCCGAGAGAGUGGUAGCUAUGUUGCAUAUUUGUGCCUGGGAUUCUUAGGGUGGGAGAAGACAACAGUCAAAUCCAGAGGCAAGCUUACACCCAGGGAUCAAAUGGCAAUUUGUCUGGUAGGUUGGUUCUCGCGGAACUGUCUCCAAGAUGAAAAGUUAUUGAUCGGUGGUGUGUAGGACAUUUAUUAGGGAGCUCUCUUAGGACCAAUUCCUGUGGGGGAAAGGAAGGAAGUGGAAUUAAUCCGAAGUCAGCUGCAGGCCCAGGAGGUUUUGACAGACUGAUAGAGAGCUCUCAAGCUAGGGUGGGUGUUUGGAGUUCUGUCAGGACAAAGGGACUAAGUCUUCUAGUACCGACUAGGUAUUAGGUGCUAGCUACCCCGGAAAGAGGACAAAGGGACUAAGUCUUCUAGUACCGACUAGGUAUUAGGUGCUAGCUACCCCGGGAAGAGGGCAUUGUCUUGGGGGAAAGCAGCUUAUUCAGCCAAGGCUGGUUCAUCAAGAAGACAGCAGAGGGCUGGGAGAUGGCUCGGUCAGUAAGGUGCUUGCUGUACAAGCAGGAGGUCUUGCUUGGAACCCAUGUGAGCCCAGGCACAGUGCCUAUGACCCCCCCACACACACACCCCACCCUCCACUGGAGAAAUAGAGACAGGAGGAUCCCUGUAGCCUGCUGACCAGAUAGAUAGUCUACACAAGUAAGGAAACAUACAUAAAUGCCCUUAAAAGACUUCUAUCAGAUCACUCAACCUACAACCCUCCCCAUAGCUGGGGACCAGUCCCUCUGCCCUGCGGGAGCACCUGUAUUACAAAGUGCAUCUUGUAGUUUAUUCUGUAACUUGGUUGUCAUGAAGUGUGUAACCUGGUCGUCAUAAAGUGUUUUGGGUUUUGGGUUUGAGGUUUCCUCAGUGUAGCCUUAACUGUCAUGAAACUUGCUCUGUAGACCAGGCUGGGCUUGAGCUCAGAGACCCAUCUGCCUCUGCCUCUGCCUCUUGAAUGUUGGGGUCAUUUAAAGGCAAGUGCCACCACCCUGGCCUUUUGACAGGAUCUUAGGUAGACCAGGCUGGUAUGGAAUUUAUAUCCUGCCUCUGUCUUUCAAGAGCUGGGAUGGCAGGUAUGUGGUACCAUAUCUGCCUAGUAAAUUUUCAAUUCCUCGACAUCUUCUAAUAAAGUUGACUACAGGAAAAAGAACCACGUUGGUCCAGUGAUUUGAAUUCCCUUCAUAUCCCCCAUUCUUGGGACAUGCUUACCUGGAUUUGACGAAACUCUCCUACUGUAAUGAGAUGCAAGCCAGAGAGAUGGCUCAGUAGAAAUGUGCUUGCUUAUGGGACCUGAGGACCUGAGUUCAAUGCUUAGGAUCAGCAUGGUCGAGGGAAAGAACCAACUCCUCUGACCUCUACAUCCUGACCAGGACAAUGCAUGCUCAUCUACACAUGUCCAUGUAUACACACAUAAAUGUAAUAAAUCCUUCUAUGAAAU